rnacentral:rRNA from 1 species
GACAGAGGGUGCAAACGUUGCUCGGAAUCACUGGGCGUAAAGGGCGUGUAGGCGGGAAGGUAAGUCAGAUGUGAAAUCCCUGGGCUCAACCCAGGAACUGCAUUUGAAACUCCCUUUCUUGAGUGUCGGAGAGGAAAGCGGAAUUCCUGGUGUAGAGGUGAAAUUCGUAGAUAUCAUCAGGAAUACCGGAGGCGAAGGCGGCUCACUGGGGCUUUUCUGACGCUGAGGAACGAAAGCCAGGGUAGCGAACGGG